AAGACUAUAGACCUGCGGAGUACCUGCGGAAGGAUCAUUACCGAGUUUACAACUCCCAAACCCAUGUGAACAUACCUAUCGUUGCUUCGGCGGGAUCGCCCCGGGCGCCUUGUGUGCCCCGGAUCCAGGCACCCGCCGGGGGACCUUAACUCUUGUUUUAUUUAGAAUCUUCUGAGUAGUUUUUACAAAUAAAUAAAAACUUUCAGCAACGGAUCUCU
rnacentral:misc_RNA from 1 species